AAGGAUUUAAGUUAAAUAAACUUGUAGUCUUCAAAACUGCCUAUAAAGAUCCUCUUUAAGCCUUA
rnacentral:tRNA from 1 species